AACUUUCAGCAACGGAUCACUGGGCUCUUGCAUCGAUGAAGAACGCAGCCAAACGCGAAAUGUGUCAUGACAUGCAGUCUUUGAGAAUGAGAAAUAUUUGAACGCACCUUGUACCAGACGCGUCAGCGUGUGGUGUGCCUGUUUGAGCAUCGCGAACGGUCGCUGCGAUUGUGCAUGGCGAAUGCGAGGCGUACGCUUACUGGGUGUCGCCUUGAAAUGCAUGGGCGCGGCGCGUGGCGGUCUUGGGAUAGUUCCGGCUAGACAGCGUCACGCGACCUCGCCCACCACACCACUCACACGAACGAUCUCAAAUCAGGCAAGACGACCCGCUGAACUUAAGCAUAUCAAUAAGCGGAGGCU
rnacentral:misc_RNA from 1 species